UCAGUGCAGCUGCACAGAUGCUAUAAGAGAAGACUUCUCAGUAGGGUCUGAACUACAUCACAACAGAAGGAACAGCAAGAUGGUUUCCCAGAUCCCAAUCCUCCUGGCUGUAUUUCUCUGGAUCUCUGGUGUCUGCAGUGACAUUGUGAUGACCCAGUCUCCAGCCUCCCUGGCAGUGUCUCCUGGAGAAAGUGCUACCAUCCACUGCAAGUCUAGCCAGAGCCUUCUAUACAGUGGUAACAACAAGAACUACUUAUCCUGGUACCAGCAGAAACUAGGGCAAACUCCCAAACUGCUCAUCUACUUGGCAUCCACCCGAGAAACUGGGAUCCCAGAACUGUUCAGCGGCAGUGGGUCUGGCACAGAUUUCACUCUCACCAUCAGCAGCCUGCAGCCUGAAGAUGUGGCAGAUUAUUACUGCCUGCAGCAUUAUAGUUCUCCCACAGUGAUUCAGCCCCAAACAUAAACUUCCUCUCAGAAUCCCUCCAGCUGCUUGCUCACUGCGCAGCCCAAGACUUCAACACUU